rnacentral:rRNA from 1 species
CAGCCGCCACGGGAAUACGUAGGUGGCAAGCGUUGUCCGGAAUUAUUGGGCGUAAAGCGCGCGCAGGUGGUUUAAUAAGUCUGAUGUGAAAGCCCACGGCUCAACCGUGGAGGGUCAUUGGAUACUGUUAAACUUGAGUGCAGGAGAGAAAAGUGGAAUUCCUAGUGUAGCGGUGAGAUGCGUAGAGAUUAGGAGGAACACCAGUGGCGAAGGCGACUCUCUGGUCUGUAGCUGACGCUGAGGAGCGAAAGCGUGGGGAGCGAACAGGAUUAGAUACCCGCGUAGUCCCUGUCUCUUAUAC